rnacentral:rRNA from 1 species
UACGGAGGGGGCUAGCGUUGUUCGGAAUUACUGGGCGUAAAGCGCACGUAGGCGGCUUUGCAAGUUAGAGGUGAAAGCCCGGGGCUCAACUCCGGAAUUGCCUUUAAAACUGCAUCGCUAGAAUUGUGGAGAGGUAAGUGGAAUUCCGAGUGUAGAGGUGAAAUUCGUAGAUAUUCGGAAGAACACCAGUGGCGAAGGCGGCUACCUGGACUGACACUGACGCUGAGGCGCGAGAGCGUGGGGAGCAAACAGG